ensembl:lncRNA
AUGCUGAGAUCUCCUCUCCCUCACACCUUUGCUGACCCCAGCUACCUGCAAUCUUGCCAGGACCAUUCUGGAGGUCAUGAGGCAACAGAAUUCCACAAUGAUAUGGUUGAGGAAAAUGGAGAACUGUCCACUGAGGAGCCCAGCAUAAUAAUGAACAACUAUCUGGAAUCUUUGGCUUCGGUACCAAGCUAAUACUGCCCUAGGUAGGUUAAAUUAAAAAAAAAAAAGUGGAAAAUAACUUUGCUUUCAUGGCAUGCUUGGUUAGGCACUUACUGGCCCUUUAAAGUAGAAUAACAGCAACUCAGAACACCUUUAGGCCAGAGUGUCUUAUCCUUGGCACUACUGAUAUUUUGGGUUCAAUAAUUCUUUGCUUUUGGGGGGCUGCAAAUUCUCAGGGCCUAUUACACUACUAUAAAGUGAGAGUGGCACCACCCCUCCAAGUGAUUCUGAGGCUGGUUAAAGUUUGAGGAACAGUAAUCUAACCCAACUCUCUCAUUUUACAAUAAAAGAAACCAGUUGGUUAAGCCUUAUCUCAGAUUAAAUGUCUGGUUAGAGUCAAAACGGUACAUUAUAUCUUAUUCUCCACAGAAUUUGCUAAGUGUGGCCUUGGAGAAAGAGGUGGGUAUCCUGCAAAGAUAUUUCACCCAGGCACCACCAACUACAUGAAACAUCCUGCUGCAAAGCAGAAAGCAUUUCAAGACUUACUGAAUAUGUUUCAUAAAUCUGGUCUCUCUCCUAGAUUCCCAGGGUUCUUGGGUUACAUGCAGAACAAUUCACUUUUAUCAACACUUUAUUUUUCUAAAGAUAGGUUAAUAUUAUAAAAAUUUUAUGACUGAUUAUGUAUAAUCAGUUUACAGCCAGAGUACUUUUUUUGUGUGUGCUUGAUUAGAUACCUAUUUCAUCAUGAAAUAGGCUUACUUUUACAGCCACAGGUAUUAUUACCGUUAUUGAUGUUGCUAGAUAUAUUGAUUUAGAAUUUUAAACUUUUCCAUAAAGUUGACUGGAAUGAAAAGCAGCUAAUAUAUGCUAGAAAAUAAAAAUGUGACUAUGCAGCCAUAAAAAAGAAUGAGAUCAUGACUUUUGAGGGAACAUGGAUGGAGCUGGAGGCUCCAUCCUCCAGCUCCAUCCAUUUUUCUGUUCCUGCAUUAGCAAACUAACACAGCAACAGAAAACCAAAUACCGCAUUUCUCCCUUAUAAGUGGGAGCUAAAUAAUGAGAACUCAUAGAUAUAAAGAGGGGAACAACAGACACUGGGGCCUACUUGAGGGUGGAGAGUUGGAGGAGAGAAGCAGAAAAAAUAAUUAUAUUGGGUACUAGGUUUAGUAUCUGAGUGAUGAAAUAAUCUGUACAAAAAACCCCUGUGACACGAGUUUAGCUAUAUAACAAGCCGGCAUAUGUACCCCUAAACCUAAAAUAAGAUUUAAAAAAAGAAAAGAAAAAUGUGUCAACCUUAUGUAUUUGAGAAAUCCUAUCUAGAUUAUUUAAAAAAGAAAAUAAAGUUAGCAAGAAAGUAGAUUGCUCUGCAAAAUUAAUUUUUAUCUCUGAUAAAUGAGUGUAGAAAUGUUAAAUAAAAAUAAACCACAUUUAUUUGCCACUUUCCUGUUUGCUUUAAUAAGAGAUAAUGCACUCUCCAAAGACAUUGUUAAAUCUCAUCCUUACUCUUUCUUUCCCCUCUAUCCUCUGGUUACUGUGAGAAUUAAGGUCUUUAAUUCCAAAGGAGAGUUCUUGUGAGGCCAAUUUGUGCUGGGUAAGAACAGGUGGACCACAUUUCCCACAGGAAGAUGAUGGUGGCUGCAUGUGGGUCUAGAUUGCCUAAGAAGCCAAAGGGGAGAGAAGUCACAAUCAAAAAGGGCCUGCCUGUAAUCCCAGGACUCUGGGAAGCCGAGGUGGGUG